rnacentral:rRNA from 1 species
GGCUGCUGGCACGAAGUUAGCCGGUGCUUAUUCUUUGGGUACCGUCAUCCCAACCGGGUAUUAGCCAGCUGGAUUUCUUUCCCAACAAAAGGGCUUUACAACCCGAAGGCCUUCUUCACCCACGCGGUAUGGCUGGAUCAGGCUUGCGCCCAUUGUCCAAUAUUCCCCACUGCUGCCUCCCGUAGGAGUCUGGACCGUGUCUCAGUUCCAGUGUGGCUGAUCAUCCUCUCAGACCAGCUACGGAUCGUCGCCUUGGUGGGCCUUUACCCCGCCAACUAGCUAAUCCGACAUCGGCUCAUUCAAUCGCGCAAGGUCCGAAGAUCCCCUGCUUUCACCCGUAGGUCGUAUGCGGUAUUAGCGUAAGUUUCCCUACGUUAUCCCCCACGAAAAAGUAGAUUCCGAUGUAUUCCUCACCCGUCCGCCACUCGCCACCCAGAGAGCAAGCUCUCCUGUGCUGCCGUUCGACUUGCAUGUGUUAGGCCUACCGCCAGCGUUCACUCUGAGCCAGGAUCAAACCCUU